UUCCCGGUAGUGUAACGGUAGCACAAAAGACUCUGGAUCUUUUUGUGGGGGUUCGAAUCCUCCCCGGGAAA
rfam:Spirochaetes bacterium RBG_13_68_11 RBG_13_scaffold_1296, whole genome shotgun sequence.